rnacentral:sRNA from 1 species
GGAAGGAUCAUUAUUGAAUGAACUUGGUGUGGUUGUUGCUGGCCCUCUCGGGGGCAUGUGCACACCCACCAUCCUCAUCUCUCCACCUGUGCACCUCUUGUAGACCUGGAUUGACUUUCCGAGGCAACUCGGUCGGGAAGAUUGCUGCGCUCUGUGAGCCAGCUUUCUUUGCAUGUCCAGGCCUAUGUUUUUCAUAUACCCCUAUAGAAUGUAACAGAAUGUAUCAUUGGGCCUUGUGCCUAUAAACCUUAUACAACUUUCAGCAACGGAUCUCUUGGCUCUCGCAUCGAUGAAGAACGCAGCGAAAUGCGAUAAGUAAUGUGAAUUGCAGAAUUCAGUGAAUCAUCGAAUCUUUGAACGCACCUUGCGCUCCUUGGUAUUCCGAGGAGCAUGCCUGUUUGAGUGUCAUUAAAUUCUCAACCUUAUUAACUUUUGUUGAUAAUGGAUUGGAUUGUGGGGGUUUCUUUUGCCGGCUUCUUCACAGAGAUCAGCUCCCCUUAAAUGCAUUAGCUGGUGCCCCGCGUGGACCAUCUAUUGGUGUGAUA